GCCAGUGUGGUGCAGUGGUGUUAUUGUUAGACUAUGACUCUAGAGACCAGGGAUCAAAUCCCCGGUCAGACG